rnacentral:rRNA from 1 species
AUUGAACGCUGGCGGCAGGCCUAACACAUGCAAGUCGAGCGAGCGGCGGACGGGUGAGUAAUGUCUGGGAAACUGUCUGAUGGAGGGGGCUAACUACUGGAAACGGUAGCUACUACCGCAUACAAUCAGAUGUGCCCAGAUGGGAUUAGCUAGUAGGUGGGGGAACGGCUCACCUAGGCGACGAUCCCUAGCUGGUCUGAGAGGAGGACCAGCCACACUGGAACGUAGACACGGUCAAGACUCCUACGUGAGGCAGCAGUGGGGAAUAUUGCACAAGGGGCGAAAGCCGUAUGCAACCAUGCCGAGUGUGGGAAGAAGGCCUUCGGGUUGUAAAGCACUUUCAGCGGGGAGGCGUUACCCGCAGAAGAAGCACCGGCUAACUCCGUGCCAGCAGCCGCGGUAAUAC